CAAAGCAGAACUUUGAAACGUACAGGAGAACACAAGACAGGUACGUCUUGAGCGCCGGGUCUGCCCCAAGUUGUGCUUUGGUUUUGGAACUCAGGGGCAUAUUGAUGACCCAUCUACUGGUAUCUAUUGGUAUGGACCUUUUUUGUCGUCUUGGAGCGUCCUGGUUAUUGUGUGGGUUGCCACUGUUUCUGUGUAUUGUUUCCUUUGUCAUGAUAUUUAACAGUUGAUGUUGGUGCCAUACGACUGACAUUAUUGCUUCGUGAAUUGGUAGGUUCGUCUUGUCACAAUUUCGGCAUUAAAAUGAUGUUCUCUCUUGCUUCUAGGCUCAAAAGGGGCGGUUUGACGGACUUGAAGCCAAAGUAACAAAAAUCCUGUCUUGUAGUUCACACCAUGCCGGCAUUUACUUACGGUAGCUUCUCAAAAAGCCACCCUAACAAACCUUGAGGGCAUUGCAUAAAGUGUCGCCUAUGAAUGCUGGCUUGUCCACCGGUAAAGUCUGAUGUUGCUUGCCACAAGGUGAACAAAUGGUGACGAAUUGGAAUGCUUAUGGACUAUGCUCAUGGAGGAUUGCAAUUGCUGCAGGGGCAAGCUGAGUUUGAGCAGCUACAUUCACUUCCUCAAGUUUUUGCCUAAGUCUCUGAGAAGCUAAUUGUUCUUCAGCUGCUGCAAAAUGAUCCAUCUGAUAUACCACUGAGAAUUUUCGGUUCGAAUUGAACUGGAUUUAGAUUCUCUUUGAAAACUCACAAAUUUGUUGAAAUUUGAUGCGGCUUUGUCCUCCAUUUUCUCUGUCCUAAAAGAACCUGGCAGUGAUGGUUACAAUGUUGAGGGUCUUCCAGAGACUUCAGAAGCAUAGUUUCGUCACUUCUUUCAUGCUUUUUUUUGUAAAGACUGCAAAGCUUCGUCCAACUUGUUUUUGUUUGUAUAAACAGUAUGCCUUAAGGAAAUGAAAAUCCUCAGGAGAAGUCUAUUAGGAAUGUUGAAGCCUUUUGUAAUGAUAUUAAUGUGUUGUUAAACUUUUUUUUGGAAUG